AUGCCUGGGCAGGGGGAAGAGCUGGGAGGAGGCUGGGGAACUUGGCACCCCAUGGAUAAGGCAGGAAGGAGCUUGGUACUGGAGGGUUUGGGCAGAAAGUUCCCCAGAGGGAUGGGAAUAGGGAUGAGCUUGGGAUGCAUUAGAACAGGAGCUCAUUGCCAAAAGCGAUUCUUUUCCUUUCCUUUCCUUUCCUUCCUUCCUUCCUUCCUUCCUUCUUUCUUUCUUUCUUUCUUUCUUUCUUUCUUUCUUUCUUUCUUUCUUUCUUUCUUUCUUUCUUUCUUUCUUCCUUCCUUCCUUCCUUCCUCCUUCCUUCCUUCCUUCCUUCCUUCCUUCCUUCCUUCCUUCCUUCCUUCCUUCCUUCCUUCUUUCUUUCUUUCUUUCUUUCUUUCUUUCUUUCUUUCUUUCUUUCUUUCUUUCUUUCUUUCUUUCUUUCUUUCUUUCUUUCUUUCUUUCUUUCUUUCUUUCUUUCUUUCUUUCUUUCUUUCUUUCUUUCUUUCUUUCCUUCUUCCUUUCUUUCUUCCUUUCUCUUUCUUUUCUUUUUCUUUCUUUGCUGUCUUUUUAUGUCCAAGCCUAGCAUCUAGAAGGCACUUGACAAAUGUGGGCAAGUUGCCUUUAGGGGCUGGCAUCCUCCCACUUCCUGCUCCAUUCUCUUCCCAUCUCCUUGGUUCCUGCCUUAUACCUGACCCCCAAGCCUUCCUCUGGCUCUGGGUUUGGGUGAGCCUGGUACCUCAGGUCCAUCUCCUGGGUGUCCCCACAGUACUCUUCCCUCCUGACCCAGAGAGGCUACAAGUCCAGGCCUGAGCAGAGAACUUCCAGGUAAUAACACAGAGGGAAGGGCUAAACAGGAACAAGCUUGCCAAUGGAAUCAAAGAAGAGGGGCCCUGAGACUCCAAGCCUGGGAGCUUCCGGUGAAAAAGACCAAGGGCCCAGAGAAACCAGCAGGGGUGAUUGUACCCCUGGGGUCUAGCCCAUAACAGGGCCAAGCAGCACCCUCUCAGGGACUCCUGGGAGGCAGAGAAAAACUGUACAAGAAUGUAGCUUUGGGGGCAGCUUGGUAGCUCAGUGGAUUGAGAGCCAGGCCUCCAGUCUCAGACAUCUUCUAACUGUGAGACCCUGGGCAAGUCACUUAACCCCCACUGCCUAGUCUUUGCUGCU
rnacentral:lncRNA from 1 species